AAAUUGAAGAGUUUGAUCAUGGCUCAGAUUGAACGCUGGCGGCAGGCCUAACACAUGCAAGUCGAGCGGUAGCACAGAGAGCUUGCUCUCGGGUGACGAGCGGCGGACGGGUGAGUAAUGUCUGGGAAACUGCCUGAUGGAGGGGGAUAACUACUGGAAACGGUAGCUAAUACCGCAUAACGUCGCAAGACCAAAGUGGGGGACCUUCGGGCCUCAUGCCAUCAGAUGUGCCCAGAUGGGAUUAGCUAGUAGGUGGGGUAACGGCUCACCUAGGCGACGAUCCCUAGCUGGUCUGAGAGGAUGACCAGCCACACUGGAACUGAGACACGGUCCAGACUCCUACGGGAGGCAGCAGUGGGGAAUAUUGCACAAUGGGCGCAAGCCUGAUGCAGCCAUGCCGCGUGUGUGAAGAAGGCCUUCGGGUUGUAAAGCACUUUCAGCGGGGAGGAAGGCGAUAAGGUUAAUAACCUUGGCGAUUGACGUUACCCGCAGAAGAAGCACCGGCUAACUCCGUGCCAGCAGCCGCGGUAAUACGGAGGGUGCAAGCGUUAAUCGGAAUUACUGGGCGUAAAGCGCACGCAGGCGGUCUGUCAAGUCGGAUGUGAAAUCCCCGGGCUCAACCUGGGAACUGCAUUCGAAACUGGCAGGCUAGAGUCUUGUAGAGGGGGGUAGAAUUCCAGGUGUAGCGGUGAAAUGCGUAGAGAUCUGGAGGAAUACCGGUGGCGAAGGCGGCCCCCUGGACAAAGACUGACGCUCAGGUGCGAAAGCGUGGGGAGCAAACAGGAUUAGAUACCCUGGUAGUCCACGCCGUAAACGAUGUCGAUUUGGAGGUUGUGCCCUUGAGGCGUGGCUUCCGGAGCUAACGCGUUAAAUCGACCGCCUGGGGAGUACGGCCGCAAGGUUAAAACUCAAAUGAAUUGACGGGGGCCCGCACAAGCGGUGGAGCAUGUGGUUUAAUUCGAUGCAACGCGAAGAACCUUACCUGGUCUUGACAUCCACAGAACUUUCCAGAGAUGGAUUGGUGCCUUCGGGAACUGUGAGACAGGUGCUGCAUGGCUGUCGUCAGCUCGUGUUGUGAAAUGUUGGGUUAAGUCCCGCAACGAGCGCAACCCUUAUCCUUUGUUGCCAGCGGUUAGGCCGGGAACUCAAAGGAGACUGCCAGUGAUAAACUGGAGGAAGGUGGGGAUGACGUCAAGUCAUCAUGGCCCUUACGACCAGGGCUACACACGUGCUACAAUGGCAUAUACAAAGAGAAGCGACCUCGCGAGAGCAAGCGGACCUCAUAAAGUAUGUCGUAGUCCGGAUUGGAGUCUGCAACUCGACUCCAUGAAGUCGGAAUCGCUAGUAAUCGUAGAUCAGAAUGCUACGGUGAAUACGUUCCCGG
rnacentral:rRNA from 1 species